GCAGUGAUCCCAAAUUACAUCUGAAACAUUAUGCAUUUCUUUUACAUAUUAUUUUUUGAUCUAAAAUUAUUAUUAAUUUCUGAAAUUAAAAAGAUAAUCUCUAAACUAAUAAACUAUUAAUUGAUCGUUAUAUAUAUCAAUUUCCUUUUAGGAAAGGGCUACCGUGAGAGCAACCGUAGAUCUUAAUGAUUUAAGGGCUGAAAUGAUUCUUAUCUAUCAAUUCUAUAAAGCAAUUCAUAUUGCAGCCUCCAUAGUGAUUCUCUCUCCUACAUGGCACUCCCACAAUCCUUUAUUUCAUAUUAUCUCAAAUGCUUUUUCCUCACGCCUAGCUUCAACCUUCACAUCUUUUUUCCCACAAAUUUUACACAGCCACGCUUCAGCCGUUACAUCUCUCAAAGCUUCUCUCCCAAUAUAAGUUUCCAUCAAUCUUGCCACAAAUCUCAAACAAUCCGCUGUGUAAUUGAGAGAUUUAUAAACAACCCGCUGUGUAAUUGAGAGAUUUAUUCUCUGUCGCGACUUCUCAAACAAUCGAUGUCGAAUCUUCCCACAAAUCUCAAACAUCCUGCUCUGUAAUUGGGAGAUUCAGUCUCUCUCUGUCAAUUUCCAUGGCACAAAUUAGGGAGGUGCUUCAUCCAUGGCUGCACCCCACGCUACAGAUCCAUGAUUCAAGGCUAUUCCUCUACAAGUGGGCUUUAGAAAUUUCAGAGAGAAGGAAAAGUUGCAGGUCAUUCUUCGUCCUUGGAGCAAUAUACGGUACUACUGUUUUUCGUCUGGGGAUUCUGUUGUUGCAAGGUUCCUUCAAUGAGCUGUUUUGAGGAGAGGGCUAUAUUCUUAUCACUUUGCAGUGAAAAAAUCGCUCCCUCCAAGCUGCUGCUGAGGAACAUAGAAAGGCUGGUGAAAAAGUAAUGAGGUUGGCAGACGAACAGAAGAAACAAAAGGAGGAACUCCAUAAGAAAAUCAUUAUGCUGGAGAAACAAUUGGAUUCAAAACAAGCAGUACAACUUGAAAUUGAGCAGUUGAGAGGUAAAGUAAAUUUUAUGAAGCACAUGGGAGAUGAAGGUGAUCAAGAAGUGUUAAAGCAAGUUGAGUUGCUGAUAAAAGCCCUAAGGGAGAAGGAAUGAGACAUUGAUGGUCUGGAAGCAUUAAACCAAAGUUUAGUUGUGCAGGAGCGCAAGAGAAAUGGUGAGCUACAAGAUGCUCAGAAAGAUAUGGUUAAUGUAUUCUGAAACUUAUGAUUGAAGUUGUUGAGGAACCAUCGGAAAUGAGAGAAUCUGCAUCGAAGCUCUUCUUUGGUUGUCUAUUGUUCAGGUGCUUGACAAUUUGGAACUUUAUGUAUGUAUAUAUGAAGAGUUCCUGGUUGUUCCAGUACUGCCUCCUAAAGUAGCAUAUCUCCAAAGUGAUUGUAGUCCAUGACACUCAGAGGAUCUUUGAUGCAUGUGCGUUCACCAUAAAAUCUUUGAGUAAGCCGGAAAGCUUGGAUGCGGCAUGACUUGUAGUACCGGCGCAAGCUGUGCACGUAUAGGGCAUCCUCAUUGCCAAGGAAUUCACAAUUUUCCACGACAGAGAGAUCGUUGUCUGACCAGAAAGCUAUUUCUUGCUGAGCUUAAGGCUUGCUGUGUUCUGGAUGGUGAGACCAUUGGCCAUAAAUCGGCGGGAUACAACAGCUGUAGAAGGUGUUAGAUGAUAAAGAACUUGAUACUCAGUAGAAAAUCAACUCUCCUACACAACCUUAGUACUAAUCUGUAUACAAUUGUUAUAGUACAGAGAUUUAUAUCUCAUGAAGACAAGUCCAGAAAAUAGAGAGCCAUACUUGCAAACAUUAGAAAAUGACUUUUCUGGUAAAAGGGCUUGCCAAUAUACAACACACAAUGGUAAAAAGGCUUGCCAAUUCUGAUCGAGUUAUUGUAAGUUCAAAUUGACGUGAAAAAACUUCUAAUUAUAAGCUGUGUUUAUGAGAUGAUUUUUUUAGUUA